rnacentral:rRNA from 1 species
UACGUAGGGUGCAAGCGUUAAUCGGAAUUACUGGGCGUAAAGCGUGCGCAGGCGGUGAUGUAAGACAGUUGUGAAAUCCCCGGGCUCAACCUGGGAACUGCAUCUGUGACUGCAUCGCUGGAGUGCGGCAGAGGGUGAUGGAAUUCCGCGUGUAGCAGUGAAAUGCGUAGAUAUGCGGAGGAACACCGAUGGCGAAGGCAAUCCCCUGGGCCUGUACUGACGCUCAUGCACGAAAGCGUGGGGAGCAAACAGG